UUUUUUUUUAGAUUUUUUACAAAUUGAAUAAAAGGAUUCAACAUUUAACUCUCUAAUAAAUACCAGAAAGAAUACUCUUCCAUCUUUGUUCUUAAAGUCAAACUGAUUCAGAUUUUGAUAUGCUAAAUAAAUACAAUUAUAUCACAGCUAAAAUGAAUAUAGGCAGGUAUAUGUGUUCAUGUGCUGUGAUGGUCAGAAGAUGCAAAAUAAUUAGGACCCCCAUGCAGACCAAGUCACUAACGUUGCCCAGAGAGGAGCACAACUACUGGGACACAUUCUUUCCUUAAGGACUUUUUCAGAUGUGCCUAGAAAUGCCUAACACACAUGUCCUUACCAUGGAUUAUACUUGAGUGGCUUUCUUUCAGUUAAACACUGUGUAACAGCUAGAAAUCAGGGACCUAUAUCAAGACUUUACCUAUUUUCAACCCAUGAAACUGAAUGUGGGUUUAAUUCCCAAUUUGAGAGGCGAGCCACUCUCCUACCUACCAGCUUUCACAUUACCGUUAGGUCAAGAUUUUCAUCCACCACAUCUCAGCACACAUUCACAAGCAGAUCUGAACCAUGUGUUAUUGCCUACCUAAAAGGGCUGUGAUAAUGAUAUUCCAAGUUCAGUGAUGCUGUCAGCCAAGCCAUUCCUUGCUCAGGUGCUAAAAGUGAAUAAACUUGAAAACGAAAUGUCUGCCCCAUUCCAUGUAAAUUUCCUCGUGAAGAAAUAGAAACAGAAAAUGCAGGGUACAUAAAUAAGUAGAAGAAAUCAGAACAGCUUGAAAGUACGUAUAGCAUCUUGCUUAGUGUCUUGUUUUUUCCAAUGUGGUUAUUUCUCCGACAAAAAGUAGCAAAUGUUGUACACCAGUGCCUCUGCUGGUGGUUCAAAAUUGAGCCCCACACACUACACUGACUUAACUAUUAUGCAUCUAAAUGGAGCAUGCAAAACAGCCAUAGUGUGUGCAAUGCCUGGAUGGACAUGGCAUCUUUCCCUUUUACUUGGAGCUAUUGAAUGUAAAGAAAGUCAACAGGGAUUUAUUGGCCUUCCGCAGAGUGGAAAACCCAUAUUACCAAAGGGUGUGAGGUAUGUUUUUAAAAAAGAAAAGAGCUUGCUUUUUAGCUGUUAACAUGUCAGGUUCCAAACUAGUGCUACAAAAUUGGGAAAAUAGUCAUUAAGUAGCAGCUUCAGAAGAGGGAAAUCUCUGCUUUUCUCCAAAUCAUCCUCAGAAGUCUUAAACGCUAACUAUUGGUAGGCUAUAGUUAUACAACUAUAGUUAUAUCUUUCUUUCUAUACAACAAGAAAGAUAUUUGGUCUUAAUCCUGGGUUGCUUGCACAGAACUUCAAAACCCAAAAGGAAUUUCUUGGGGGUAGGUGUGAGAGCUGUGGUUUUGGUUAUUGGUAGCAAGUUCCCUUCAAUCAUACCUGGGUUUAUGUUUAUUAGGUGACUCUCAGAAAAUCCUUAAGGAUGAGGAAGCAGGGUGGCUAGCUACCAGAGGAACCCACCUUGGGAUUAGAGGGUUGGACCUUUCGGCUCCACUCCCAGACUUCUGUGGAGGGUAGAGGGGCUACAGUUGGAGUUCAGUCAUCCAUGGUCAAUGAUUUAAUCAAUUGUGCCUAUGUAAUGAAAUCUCGAUAAAAACCCUCCAUGUCAGGGUGUGGAGAGCUCCCAGGUGGAUGAACACAUGGAGGUGCUGGAAGGGUGACACACCUGGAGAGGCAGGGAAGAUGUGCCACACACCUGGUCCCAUAUACCUGACCCAUACACCUCUUCCCUUUGCCUGACUUUGAGUUGCAGCCUUUUCCUGAAUUCUGUGAAUC
ensembl:lncRNA